rnacentral:rRNA from 1 species
UACGAAGGGGGCUAGCGUUGCUCGGAAUUACUGGGCGUAAAGGGCGCGUAGGCGGAUUUUUAAGUUGGGGGUGAAAUCCCGGGGCUCAACCCCGGAACUGCCUUUGAUACUGGUAGUCUCGAGUCCGGAAGAGGUGAGUGGAAUUCCGAGUGUAGAGGUGAAAUUCGUAGAUAUUCGGAGGAACACCAGUGGCGAAGGCGGCUCACUGGUCCGGUACUGACGCUGAGGUGCGAAAGCGUGGGGAGCAAACAGG